rnacentral:tRNA from 15 species
CCAACCUUAGCUCAACUGGUAGAGUGUUGGAUUGCUGAUCCAUGGUCGACUGUUCGAGUCCGACAGGUCGGU